rnacentral:rRNA from 1 species
GAUCAUGGCUCAGGAUGAACGCUAGAUACAGGCUUAACACAUGCAAGUCGAGGGGAAACGAUAUUGGAAGCUUGCUUCCGAUAGGCGUCGACCGGCGCACGGGUGAGUAACGCGUAUCCAACCUGCCCAUCACUUGGGAAUAACCUUGCGAAAGUAAGACUAAUGCCCAAUGACAUUUAUAGAAGGCAUCGGAAAUGAGUUAAAGAUUUAUCGGUGAUGGAUGGGGAUGCGU